CCUUGACAGUCACAUGGUGUGGCUGACAUUUGCCAAGACAAGGAGUUUCUUAUG
rnacentral:sRNA from 12 species